rnacentral:rRNA from 1 species
ACGCUGGCGGCGUGGCUAAGACAUGCAAGUCGAACGGACGCUCAAUUUAUUGGUCAGUUAGUGGCGAAAGGGUUGGAACGGAUGGGUAACGUACCCCGUGCUUUGGGAAGCGUCAUCCCGACUUCGGUCGGGAUUUCCGAAAGGGGCGGUAAUACCAAAUAAUAUCACUUGUUUAUAGGCAGGUGAUCAAAGAUUUAUCGGCGCAGGAGCGGCCUGCCUCCUAUCAGCUUGUUGGUGAGGUAAUGGCUCACCAAGGCAGCGACGGGUAGCGGGACUGAGAGGUUGGCCCGCAACAUCGGGACUGAGACACUGCCCGGACCUCCACGGAGGGCUGCAGUAACGAAUAUUGUGCAAUGGGCGAAAGCCUGACACAGCGACGUCGCGUGUAGGAGGAAGUCCUUCGGGAUGUAAACUACUGUCAGGGGGAAGAAAGUGCGCUUCGGCGCAUUGAUCUAACCCAAAGGAAGUCACGGCUAACUUCGUGCCAGCAGCCGCGGUAAGACGAAGGUGGCAAGCGUUGUUCGGUAUCACUGGGCUUAAAGCGUGUGUAGGCGGAGAAGUAAGCGUUUCGUGAAAUCCCCCGGCUUAACCGGGGAACUGCGCAAUGAACUGCUUUUCUUGAGGCAAGUAGGGGUGCAUGGAACUCUUGGUGGAGCGGUGGAAUGCGUAGAUAUCAAGAGGAACGCCAGUGGAGAAAUCGGUGCACUGGGCUUGUCCUGACGCUGAGACACGAAAGCGUGGGUAGCGAACGGGAUUAGAUACCCCGUAGUCCCGCCGUAAACGAUGCCUACUAGGUUGUGAAAGCUGACACUGGCACAGCCGAAGCAAAAUUUAUGGCCGCCUGGGGAGUACGUCGCAAGGCUAAAACUACAAAUGAAUCGAACG